UAGCUUCAGUUUCGUAACGAUAAGAAGCCUUUGAAAAAUUAACCUGAAAAUAAGCCCCAAAAGCAAAAUCAAAAGACAAAAUACUCUCCCAUUUCCAUAGCUUUUUACAUUGACAGUUGGAAAUCGUAUUAUUUAUGGAUCAUGAGAUCAUUAUCGAUAUCUAUAAACCAUUUGAUAUAUCCAUCAAACCGCGGCCUUGGCUCGUGCCAACUUUCAUCUGAAAACAAACAAAUGGAAGCGCCGUGCCGCGAAAGUUCAUCAAGUUGGAGCAGGUUCAGCGAUAGAAAGUUGAUCAGUAAAUCGGUGGAUCGGUGGGUUGGUGGAUGGUCCAUCUGAUCCGGACAUGUGUAAACAACAAUCCAAUUCAAGGCAAUGAAAAUGUUUACGUCGAGAUAUUUAGAAAGAGUCUGCGAUAAAUUUCAUAAAGAUAGAGAGAGGAAGCAUUUAAUCAGUGGAAUUCAUUAAAAUAUAAUGAUGAAAUAAACAAAACUUCAUCCGACCGAAGAUCGGAUGUGGAAUUCGGAUAAGUUUAUACUCGAA